rnacentral:rRNA from 1 species
GACGUAGGGCGCGAGCGUUGUCCGGAUUUAUUGGGCGUAAAGAGCUCGUAGGCGGCUUGUCGCGUCGUCCGUGAAAACCCACAGCUCAACUGUGGGCUUGCGGUCGAUACGGGCAGGCUAGAGUUCGGUAGGGGAGACUGGAAUUCCUGGUGUAGCGGUGAAAUGCGCAGAUAUCAGGAGGAACACCGGUGGCGAAGGCGGGUCUCUGGGCCGAAACUGACGCUGGAGGUGCGAAAGCGUGGGGAGCAAACAGG